rnacentral:lncRNA from 1 species
ACCAUCUCAACGAGCGAUUAUAACUGAUUUCAUAACCUCGUUAUCUUCUCCCAUAAAACCAACCACCGCAUCACAACCAUCAGUUGCCACGUGGUGGAAAUCAACUGAAAAAUAUUACCAACUCACUAACAACAAGAAAUCAGUUAACCUAGCUCUCUCACUAGGUUCUCAAAUUCUUGACGAGAAAUACUCUUUAGGAAAAUCUCUCACAACUAACCAAAUCCUUAAUCUCGCAUCAAAAGGACAACAACAAAACGCCAUCAACGUUGUCCUAACAGCUGCUGAUGUGUUAGUUGACGGUUUUUGUUCAAGUAGGUGUGGAACCCAUGGUUCUUCUUAUGGUGCACGCGUAAAUGGAAAGAGAAACAAGUUCGCGUACAUUUGGGUUGGAAAUUCGGAGACACAAUGUGCUGGUCAAUGCGCGUGGCCAUUUCACCAACCAAUUUAUGGUCCACAAAGUGCACCGUUGGUUGCACCAAAUAACGAUGUGGGUCUUGACGGAAUGGUUAUAAAUGUUGCUAGUCUUUUAGCUGGAACCGUAACAAAUCCUUUUGGUAAUGGUUAUUUUCAAGGACCUAAAGAAGCUCCUUUGGAAGCUGCUUCGGCUUGCACCGGUGUUUAUGCUAAAGGAGCUUAUCCUGGUUAUGCUGGGGACCUUUUGCUGGACAAAACAAGUGGUGCUAGCUAUAAUGCAAAUGGUGAUAAUGGAAGGAAGUAUUUGUUGCCUGCUAUUGUUGACCCUAAAACCUCGGCUUGUUCUACAUUGGUAUAAAGUAAGAGUGUUUAGUUGUUAGGCAAUGAGAGAUUCUUUGAUUUGUUAAUUCAAUUAGUUGUUAUAGCCUCGAUAAUUCUUUGAUUCUUUGUAAUUUUAAUAAAUAAAUAAUAUCAAUAUUAUUAUGUCCUCCAUAAAUAAUGUUAUUGAAUGAAGCAAAGAUAUCAUAAUUUUACCAUUAUAGUUUUAUUAUAUACUGAUGCAUUAUAAAUAGAAAGUGAAAAAGAAAAAGAGCAAUGCUAUAAAUAAAUAGUGAAAAAUCUUGAGUUGAGAGUUAUGAUGAGAUUUGCAUCAAGCCCUAUAGUUGGCAAGUUGACUAUGAAUGUGACUAAUACACCGUUCAAUUCCAAAUCAAGCCAAGCUACUUAAUAUUAAAUUUAAUUUUUUUCCAUUUUUUCCUUUUUAAAAUAAAGGGUUGGGAGUGUUGAAGCACAUAGUAUAAAUUAAAUGGUAAAAUUGAAAAAGAAAUAGUUAAUAUUAUACUGAAAAUUGAAGUAAUACUCGAUUUUAGAUACAAUGAGUAUUUUGAAUGAUUAAAUAAUUCAAUUUCUUGAUGAAAUCAUUGUAAGAUCGUGUAAACUAAUUUCAUAUUUCGUCAUCGUGAGUUUAACUCAGUUGUUAUGUACAAUGCAUAAUAUAUAGAAGGUUUGUGGUUCGAAUCCCGACCACAAUUAAAAAAAGAAAACUAAUUUCAUAUUUCCAUAAACAACCCUUAAAAUAUUGCUAAAAAAGUAAAUAUGUAUGGAUAAAUGGCGUUAAUUUCAUAAAUCCAACUUCAACUAAUGCAUAUGCAAUGGUAAAAUAAUAAUUUUUUGGUCUAUGUUCUCUCUCUUUUUUUUUUUUUUUUUUUAUAUAUAACAAAGGUUGCCUUUUCUUGCCAUAAAAUAUAAUAAAGAUUAUCUUUAAAAAAAAAUUUGUUAAGGGUUUAGUUUAAAAUUAUAAUCUUAUCAUUAUUGUCAAUAUUAAUUUUUUAUCAAGUACGUUAGAAGUUAGAAUUUCACCUUUAAAUUGAAUAAGUCGUGAAUCCAAAAUUCAAACCUGAACCCUACGUUUAUAAUAUAAUGUCCCUAUCAAUUGAGUUAUACUCACGAAGACUCUUCAUUGUCAAUAUAACUCACAAAACAUUUCAUCAUAGUUGAUCCAUAAUAGAAUCCUCGCAAUUACUGACCAUAUUCAAUAUACAAUUACUACUAAAAAAAAGUGGAGAAUUCACCAACACCCUUUCAUUUUGGAACCUGUAGAUCAACAGACUAAUGUCAUGUUAGAGUCGAACUUGACGAUGGAUACGUCACCUAGUACAACUCAACAGUCUUUGGUGGCGGUUCAAGAAACAAAUACGAAUGCUACUCUUGGGCAUUAUGAGGCGUCAAUUGAUCCGACUCAACAAAAGGAAAUUAAUCUUGUUCAACAUUUGUUGAUUCAAAGAAAAUUGUUGUGGUACCAUUUACGCCUUAUCUUACAAAAGGUCAAAAAAAGAAAAUUAGCAAGGCAACAUAUCACAACAAAGGAUUGACCCCCAACUUAAGGCGACAACGCUCUCGAACCUCGCUCUCAUAACCGCUCGAGGGAGAGUAACCGUUGGACGACGAAUCUACCAUAUUCUCAGCAGUUUCAAAGCAAAUACUCAUCUUUGUCAACCCAAAAAACGAAGGAAAUGUACAAAAUGCAAAGGAAGAAAGGAAGUACCUUUGAAGUUCAAAGGUUUUUCAGAAAAAAGAGGCAAAACUUUGUAGAACCGUAAACCCCAGAAAUGCAGCCUAGAGAGGAAGGAUUUUCGCGCAAGUUGGUCGGAGGAAAAACUGGGAAAAGAAAACAAUACACUUCUAGGUGAAGUUUAAGAGUGAAUGCAGAAUAUCUGAAACCAUGAAGAUAAAGAGCGUAAAAGUUGGAAACAAAAAGUUUCCCUUCUUUUAUAGGCUUCAAAAGUAUCCAGAUCGACGAUUCAGAAGAGAAGAAACCUUGAAACCAAAGGUUUCUGAUUCAACGAUUAAUGGCAAUAUGACCUCGAACCACGAAGGGCACUCAAGUGGCACGCGCGUGAAGCGCAAAGGCCGGUGCGUGUGCGGGCCACGAAGCAUGCACGUGGAAAGUAAAACUAAACAACCAUCACGUUAUGAACGUUUCAGUUUGAAGCAUUAAAUGCCAACUGCUCCCACUAACUCGCAUGGGGCGCCACCUCCUCGAGGAAGGAAAAACUUCUCGCAAAUGUAAAACUACAGAGGCGCCAACAUGUGAAGGCGCCUGAUCGUAUGCCUCUCUUCACAGCUAAAAGCCAUUGCGCCUUAAAUGCAUCAACAGUUUUGGGGACAAAUGUUCUGGACCAGUUAGAAGACCAAUCUUACGUUGACACGUGGCCUGGCCUACACAGCCUUAAGGCUCUGCGCCUAAAGGAACACGCCAGCUUAAAUGCAUUGUGCCACACAGGAGCGCCCGCGAUGAUAACCUUACAUGUGUCCUCUAAUCGUCCCUAAUCACACGCCGCAAAACUCGAAGACGGUUACUCUCAACGCGCGCCUAUAUAAGGGUGACCUUGCUUCACCCCCAAGGUAUGAUUCACUUUUCACAACACCUUCUAAACACUCUUUCUCAAUUCCAUUACUGACUUGAGCGUCGGAGUGCUAACGUGUCUGAAGACACCUUUUGUCCCACUGCAAGGACUCGUCACCACCGUACCAGAAACCAUCACCGUCACAUCGGAGCACUUUCCACCACUGUUACCUCUCAUCCAUCCUCACCGGACAAAUCAAAACUUCUUCUGCAAACCUUUGAACCUUAAAACUUAUCUUAAACCUGAUGAACCCCCAAUCUCAACUCACGUAAACUUAUGAAGCAAAAAAAAAAAACACAAAUAAAGAAUAUAUAAAGAGAUCACCCAAAACAAGCGAAGAUAAAAAUUGCACAUUCUUGAUACGAGCAAAAUAAGUGCAAUUUUCUUAAAUUAUACUUCACAUAUCCCUCAUUAUAAAAUCCGUUGCAAAAAAAUUGUUUAUCCUUAAUACAUGAUUAUCCAUAAAUUUUAAGUACAUUGCUUUUUUUUUUUUCUUUUUUCUUUCUAAAUAUCAAUUAUUAAUAAGAGUUUAAUGGUGGUGGAUCGACAUUUCAAAACAUUUUUGCACACACAACCAAAAAACAUUCAGAAUUCUCACAUAAAUUAAAAAUAUUAAUUGGCGUGACGAUUUUAAAUAUUUUAAUUGAUUGUGUGCAAAAUUAUUUUGAAUUGUCGAUACACUACCAUUAAUCUCUAUUAAUAUUACCAAUCUAUCUUAGAAUAUAUUUUAAUAUAGUAACAUUGAAAAUAUUUACACAAAAAGAUAUUUAAUAAUAAUUAGAGUCGACAUUUGGAACAAAUUUAUUAUUUCUUCAACUUUUUUUUAGCACGAUUUUUAUAAGAGAUGAAUAGAAUAAAAGUGAUUGAUCAUCAAUCACGCAAAAGAAGAGUUGUUACGCUCUUCGAUGGAGAAUGGACCCAAAAGCUAGGGGCAUGCCUUGUACAAAGAAUACACAGCUUUGUCGUUUUGUUUCAUAGCUGUGCUGUUGCCUGUUACUGUCCCAAAUCAAUGAAUUCAUGCAAACUGGAAUAACAAAAUAACAACGCGUGAUAUAGCUGGCACAUCCACCACUCACUCCACUCAUCCUCCUACAUAAUUUAACUUCAACUAUAUAUAUACCUACAACUACAUCUUACAUUUCCAUCACCUCACAACAUUUCCACAUUCCCUUCUACUUCAUACUUUGUUCUAUCUCAAAAUGGCAUCUUUUAAGUUAAGUGUUAUCUUCACCCUUUUUCUCACAAUUUCACUACUUCAAUUGAGUUCAGCUAGGAAACUCACUGAAUCAGACCAACAACUUAAAUUUCAAUUCCACAAAGGCCCUCUUCUAACCGGUAAAAUUUCUGUAAACCUUAUUUGGUAUGGAAAAUUCAAACCAUCUCAACGAGCGAUCAUAACUGAUUUCAUAACCUCGUUGUCUUCUCCCAUAAAACCAAAAACCACAACACAACCAUCGGUUGCCACGUGGUGGAAAUCAACUGAAAAAUAUUACCAACUCACUAACAACAAGAAAUCAGUUAACCUAGCUCUAUCACUAGGUACUCAAAUUUUGGACGAGAAAUACUCUUUAGGAAAAUCUCUCACAACUAACCAAAUCCUUAAACUCGCAUCAAAAGGACAACAACAAAACGCCAUCAACGUUGUCCUAACAGCCGCUGAUGUGUUAGUUGACGGUUUUUGUUCAAGUAGGUGUGGAACCCAUGGUUCUUCUUAUGGUGCACGCGUGAAUGGAAAGAGAAACAAGUUCGCAUACAUUUGGGUUGGAAAUUCAGAGACACAAUGUGCUGGUCAAUGCGCGUGGCCAUUUCAUCAACCAAUUUAUGGUCCACAAAGUGCUCCGUUGGUUGCACCAAAUAACGAUGUGGGUCUUGACGGAAUGGUUAUAAAUGUUGCUAGUCUUUUAGCUGGAACCGUAACCAAUCCUUUUGGUAACGGUUAUUUUCAAGGACCAAAAGAAGCUCCUUUGGAAGCUGCUUCGGCUUGCACCGGUGUUUAUGCUAAAGGAGCUUAUCCUGGUUAUGCUGGGGACCUUUUGGUGGACAAAACAAGUGGUGCUAGCUACAACGCUAAUGGUGAUAAUGGAAGGAAGUAUUUGUUGCCUGCUAUUGUUGAUCCUAAAACUUCAGCUUGUUUUACAUUGGUAUAAAGAAUAAUUGUUUUGUUGUUAGGCAAUGAGAGAUUCUUUGAUUUAUUCAUUCAAUUAGUUGUUAUAACCUCGAAAUUAAUCUUUUAUUCUUUGAUUCUUUUUAAUCUUAAUAAAUAAAUAAUAUCAAUAUUAUUAUAUUGUCCUCCAUACAUGCAACACAUGUACAGACGGACGACGGUGCACAUGGCAUACUCUAUCCAUCUCAACGAUAAACAUUCACACAAAUCAAAUUUUAUUGAAUGAAGCAAAGAUAUCAUAAUUUUACCAUUGUAGUCUUACUAUAUAUCCUGAUGCAUAAUAAAUAGAAAGUGAAAAGAAAAAAAAAUAGAACGUGAAAAAUUGAGUUGAGAGUUAUGAUGAGAUUUGCAUGAAGCUUAUAGUUGGCCAGUUGACUAUGAAUGUGACUAAUACACCGUUCAAUUCCAAAUCAAGCUACUUAAUAUUAUUAUAAUUUUUUUUCCUUUUUUUGGUAUUAAAUUUAAUUUUUCCAUUUUUUUUUCUUUUUAAAAGAAAGAGUUGGGGAGUGUUGAAGCACAUAGUAUAAAUUAAAUGGUAAAAUUGAAAAAGAGAUAGUUAAUAUUAUACUGAAAAUUGAAAUAAUACUCGAUUUUAGAUAAACUUCUUUGGCAAAUGUCCCACUCAUAAUGUGACACAAUGAUUAUUUUGAAUGAUUUUUUUUUUUUUAAGAAAUUAUUUCAAUGACUAAAUAAUUCAAUUUCUUGAUGAUAUCAUCGUAAGUAGACAUGACAACACAACCCGUCCCCAUUGGAUCCCACCCACCCCGUCCCGAUUUUAAUGGGGAAAAGCCGAAUUGGUUAUGGGUGCGGGUUUGGAGAAAACCCGGAGUUUUAAUACGGGGGCGGGGGAUACUCACACUCGCCCUCGCCCCGUUUUUUUAAAUUACUAUUUUUAUCCUUAUUUUUUAUAGUCAUAUUACUCAUAUACCCUUCUUAAUCUUAACAUAGAAGCUUUUGUUUUAAUUAUCUUGCCACUAAACAUAUUUUUUCACGAUGAUGUUAUGAUCUCUAAUGAAUUUAGAAGCUUUUGUUAUUAGCUCUUUUUGUUAUUGUGAAAAAAUAAAAUAAAAAAUUGUCUACAAUUUUCGCGGGUGGGGUUGGGGAAAUCCGUCCCCGUUGGGGCAGGUCCGGGUGUAAAAUUUCUAUCCAGACGGGUUUGGGGGUGGGGGCGGGGCUGGGUACAAUGAAACAGGGACGGGGCCGGGUAUGUUAAAACUUGCCCCCGCCCCGUUGCCAUGUUUAAUUGUAAGAUCAUGUAAAUUAAUUUUUUUCCGUGAAUUUAGUUCAGUUGAUAAGGACAAUGCAUAAUAUAGAUAAGAUUCGAUUUUUCAGACAAAAAAAAAAAAAAAACUAAUUUAUUUCCAAAAACAACCCUUAAAAUAUUACUAAAGAAGUAAAUUUGUAUGGAUAAAUGGCGUUAAUUUCAUAAUUCCAACUUCAACUAAUGCAUAUGCAAUGGUUUAUAUAAAAAAGGUUGCCUUUUCUUGUCGAAAAAUAUAAUAGAGAUUAUCUUUAAAAAAAAAAUAAUGUUAAGGGUUCAGUUUAAAAUUAUAAUCUUUAUCAUUAUUGUCAAUAUUAAUUUUUUUAUCAAGUAGGUUAGUGUUAGAAUUUCAUCUUUAAAAUGCAUAAGUCGUGAAUCCAAAAUUCACACCAUAUCAACUAAGUUAUGCUCACGAAGACUCUUUAUUAUCAAUAUUACUCACAAAACAUUUCAUCAUAGUUGAUCCAUAAUAGAAUCCUCGCAAUUACUACCAUAUUCAAUAUACAACUACUAUUAAAAAAAAGUGAAGAAUUCACCAACACCCCUUCAUUUUGGAACCUCUAGAUCAACAGGCUAAUGCCAUGUUAGAGUCGAACUUAACGAUGGAUACGUCACCUAGUACAACUCAACAGUCUUUGGUGACGGUUCAAGAAACAGAUACGAAUGCUACUCUUAGGCAUUCUGAGGCGUCAAUUCAUCCGACUCUACAAAAGGAAAUUGAUCUUGUUCAGCAUUUGUUGAUUCAAAGAAAAAUGUUGAGGUGCCAUUUACGCAUUAUCUUACAAAAGGUCAAAAAUAGAAAAUUAGCAAGGCAACAUAUCACACCCGAUCUAUGAAUUCCCCUAUAGAACCGAAGGGUGGUUGAGCAGCCUCUUUUUCUUUUGGGCCAUUUUUUUCUUUCUUCGUUUAGUUUUUUUUUGUUUUUUUCUCUUACUUUCUUUCGGUUUUGUUUUGAGGGUUUUGGUUUAGCCCCCUCUUGUAUAGUUUCUUUCUUUUUUAUUUAUAUUAUGAGUGGGUGGCAGUGUAAGGCUUUCUUGAGAUGCCAACGGUGUUGUGAUGUCCGAAUGAUCCACUCGAAAAUCAGUUGUUAGAAUUAACAGGUCUUCAAAUCGUUCAUUUAAAAAAAAGGAAACCCGAUUUUUCAAACUCUCAUUGUUGUUUUAACUCGCUCUAUUUUAUUGAAAAAAAAUAAAAUACAUUUACACUUUGCAAGACUAUAUCUAUGUGUUUGUGUCUUGUUAGACUUUGUAGAUCUCUUGUUAUUUGUUAAUAACUUGAUAAUUUUAAUUUAUCUGUAUAUUUAUGUUUUUUUUUUUCUUCCAUGUCUUGCUAAUAUAUAAGCAUUUGUGUUUGACCAUAAAGUUUAUUAAAGAUUUUAGUAUUUUUCAAUAACAUUUUUAACUUACUAAAAUGUAUUUUCUAUUUAUAUACACGUUUAUUUGUUUUGAUAACUAUUUUAUUGGUGCAAAAUAUCUACCAAUAAUAUUAAUGAUUAUUCUCCGCUUCAGAACCUAUUUUUCAAAUUCAAGGGAUCUCCUCUCGGAACAACAUAUUUUUCAUCCACCGUGCGUGGAUCUGAGACCUUAAGAGAUCCGAGUAAAAUUCCACAAAGACCAACAUAAUGUUAGUGUGUAUAUAUUUAUUGAGUGUAGCUACCGAUAGUUGAUGCUUAUUCUGCGAAACUAGAAUUUUCAAUGACAUCUAUUUGUUUUAAUUAAUAUUACAUAUAUAGAGACUCAAUAAUAAUUUUAUGUGUUCUAAAUUUCUACAUGAUCCUAUCUUUGUUGUUUUGUCUAGUUUUCCACUCGUGCCGAAUUUAAUUGAGCAGUGUUGACAACACUUUUGUUUUAACAUUCUCUUCAACAUUUACUUUUUUAUUUGCUUAAAUCAAAUAGGUGUCACACUUUAAAAUUGAAUUACACUUGUUAUGGUCAUAUAUUAACGUCAUCCAAUAAAAAAAUAAGUGUUGAUGAGAAUGUUGAAAAUAAAGUGUCAUCAAAAUUUCUUAUUUUAAUUUGAACAUGUUGUGUUUAAAUCUCAUUUUUCACAACAAAUGUGAUGUUUUACCGAUACCCUAAUGUGUGUACGAGGGUAUGAAGGUAAGACUAAGAACUAAGAAACUAUACGGUAUAUAUACUUUAUCUCAUUUUUUGUUACAUUGCAUCAAAAACCCACAUGAUAUGUCAUGUUAGCCAUGUCAUCUAACUUAGAUUGAAAGAUGAAAUUAAAGACUAAACCAAUGGGGGCUAUUCAGAGAAAUUUAUUGGAUCAUCUUAUGUCGUUUUGUGGGUUAGGGGGUAUGUCAAAAAUGUUCGGGUGGCUCUUAACAUCAUUUGGGUUUUGGAUGUGUGGGGUUAUUUAGCACCAGAGAAAUAGACUCAAAUUCAAUCAUAAGGAGGAAUAUUUGCAAUCUUAUGCGAAAAAGUUAAGCUUUAAUCAUUUUCGUGGUUGAAAUUAAGAUAUAUUACUUUCGAUUUCGAUUAUCAUUUUUUGAGGCUUAAUCAUAUUCAUUGCCUAACUGUUCUAACUUAGCUUAUUGUAUCUUCUUUUGUUUUGUUUAUCUUGUAAAGUUAAGUCGUUUCUGAUACAUCUUGUGCUGAAAGAUUUGUUUUGGUUGGUAAUUUAUAUAUUUCAUUUUGGUCUCUUAGAAAAAACUAACAAUGGGGAUAUAGGGAUUAAAAAAAUUGUUAAAAAAACAUAGGGAUAAGAUCUAAAAUAGAGAAUUGAAUGACUAAAAUUGGCUAUUUACAUAAGUAUACGUAUGGAAGUUUUGCAAAUGUCCUUUUAACCUUAAAACUUAUCUUAACAUUGAUGAGUCUGAAUCUCAACUCUCGUAAACUUUUAUGUAAAAAAAAAAAAAAAAAAACACAAAUGGAGAAAAUAUAAAGACAUUACCUAAAACAAGUGAAGAUUAAAAUUGCACAUUCUCAAUACAAUCAAAUUAAGUGCAAUUUUCUUAAAUUAUACUUCAUAUAUCGCUAAUUAUAAGAUCUGUUUUAUUUUUAAAGGUCUAAUUAUAAGAUUUGUUACAAAAAUUUGUUUGUCCCUUAAUACAAAAGUAUCUAUAAAUUUUGGGGUAAUAGUCCCUUUGGUCCAUUAAUUUGUAAUGAGCAGUUACAAUGAUCCUUAAAUGUAUAAAAGUAUCAAAAUAGUCUAUGAUUGUGCAAUUUGUUAGUCAAAAUAGUCUUUGAUGUUAAAAUACUUCAUUAAUAUUGUCAUAUUACCCCGUCAAUAUACUUACUUAUUGUCAUAUCAGUCUUUAUAAAUACUUAAUUAUUGUCAUUUUAAUCCUUAUAUGAAAAGAGUUAUUGUGAACGUACAUUGAGAGAUUACUUUAGCGCCAGAGACCAUUUUGAGUAACAGAGUGCACAAUCAGAGACUAUUUUAAAAUUUUGAUAUAUCGAGAGACUAUUGUGACUACUCAUUACACAUUCAAGAACCAAAUGAUUAUCCCAUAAAUUUUUAAAUACAUUGAUUAUUUUUUUUCUAAAUAUCUAUUAUUAAUACAACCACUCUAUCUUAGAAUAUAAAAAAUAUUUACAUUGAAAGUAUUUAUACAACAAGAUAUUUUAUAAUAGUUAGAGACAUUUGGAACAAAUUUAUUCUUUCUUAUAACUUUUCUUAGCAUGAUUUUUAUAAGAGAUGGAUAGAAUAAAAGUGAUUGAUCAUCAAUCACGCAAAAGAAAAGUUGUUACGCUCUUCCAUGGACAAUGGACCCAAAAGCUAGUGGCAUACCUUGUACAAAGGAUACACAGCUUUGUCGUUUGGUUUCAUACAUGUGCUGUUAAUUGUCCCAAAUCUAUGAAUUCAUGCAAACUGGAAUAAUAAAAUAUCAACGCGUAAUAUAGCUGGCACAUCCUCCACUCACCCUCCAACAUAAUUUGACUUCAACUAUAUACCUUUCUAUUUUACACGUUAAUUAAUUCCUUUUAAAUACACUUUCCACUAUAUAUAUACCUACAACCCCAUCUUACAUUUCCAUCAGCACAUAACAUUUCCACAUUCCUUCUACUUCAUACUUUGUUCUAUCUCAAUACAUAUCCCAAAUGGCAUCUUUUAAGUUAAGUGCAAUCUUUACUCUUUUUCUCACAAUUUCACUACUUCAUUUAAUCUCAGCUGCUAGAAAAUUCACUGAAUCAGACCAACAACUUAAAUUUCAAUACCACAAAGGCCCUCUUCUCACCGGAAAAAUCUCAAUCAACCUCAUUUGGUAUGGAAAAUUCAAACCAUCUCAACGAGCCAUCAUAACUGAUUUCAUAACCUCCCUCUCUUCUCCUAAACAAGGAACAACCACAUCACAACCAUCCGUUGCCACGUGGUGGAAAUCAACCGAAAAAUAUUACCAACUCGCGAACAAUAAGAAAUCAGUUAACCUAGCUCUCUCACUAGGUUCUCAAAUUCUCAAUGAGAAUUACUCAUUAGGAAAAUCUCUCACAACUAACCAAAUCCUUAAACUCGCAUCAAAAGGACAACAACAAAACGCCAUCAACGUUGUCCUAACAGCCGCUGAUGUGUUAGUUGACGGUUUUUGUUCAAGUAGGUGUGGAACACAUGGUUCUUCUUAUGGUGCACUCGUAAAUGG